rnacentral:tRNA from 1 species
GUUUUUAUAGUUGAAUUACAUCAGUGGUUUUUCAUAUCAUCGGUCUCAGUUUAAAUCUGGGUAAAAACU